UACCAGCACCCCGAGUGGUCGGGACGAUUAUUGGGCCUAAAGCAUCCGUAGCCGGUUCUACAAGUCUUCCGUUAAAUCCAACUGCUUAACAGUUGGGCUGCAGAGGAUACUAUAGAGCUAGGAGGCGGGAGAGGCAAGCGGUACUUAGUGGGUAGGGGUAAAAUCCGUUGAUCCACUGAAGACCACCAGUGGCGAAGGCGGCUUGCCAGAACGCGCUCGACGGUGAGGGAUGAAAGCUGGGGGAGCAAACCGGAUUAGAUACCCGGGUAGUCCCAGCUGUAAACGAUGCAGACUCGGUGAUGAAUAGGCUUCGUGCAUAUUCAGUGCCGCAGGGAAGCCGUUAAGUCUGCCGCCUGGGGAGUACGGUCSCMAGACUGAAACUUAA
rnacentral:rRNA from 1 species